rnacentral:lncRNA from 1 species
AAGAAACAAUUAUGCAUUGUUGCUCUGAUAUAAUUUUAUUUACUAUAUUUUAGCGGUAAUUUUUAAAUAAAUCUUAUUGUCAUAUAAAUGAAAUAUUUCAUCUAGGUGCUCUCGUUGAAGUUCGCGUUACAUUAAAAAAUGCAUUUCAUUGGUCGGAACGUUUGCAAACUUUCAUUUCAGGUGUUCUCAUCGAGGUCCGCCUUCACGUUUCAAUUCAAUACACAAUAAGUCCAGUACGGUAAAAAGAAAAUCAAUAUUAGACCCUACGAUGUCCGAUUAAACAAAUAGAAUUUAGAAAAAUAACACACCAAAAGUAUCUUUCUUUUUUGCCGAUGAAAAUCAAAAAAUACUAUUUAUAUUACAACCAGGAUUUGUAUACUAUGCAAUU